rnacentral:rRNA from 1 species
CCUACGGGGCUGCAGUGGGGAAUAUUGGACAAUGGGCGAAAGCCUGAUCCAGCCAUGCCGCGUGUGUGAAGAAGGCCUUCGGGUUGUAAAGCACUUUCAGUGGGGAAGAAAGCCUUGGGGCUAAUACCCUCGAGGAAGGACAUCACCCACAGAAGAAGCACCGGCUAACUCCGUGCCAGCAGCCGCGGUAAUACGGAGGGUGCGAGCGUUAAUCGGAAUUACUGGGCGUAAAGCGCGCGUAGGCGGUCUGAUAAGCCGGUUGUGAAAGCCCCGGGCUCAACCUGGGAACGGCAUCCGGAACUGUCAGGCUAGAGUGCAGGAGAGGAAGGUAGAAUUCCCGGUGUAGCGGUGAAAUGCGUAGAGAUCGGGAGGAAUACCAGUGGCGAAGGCGGCCUUCUGGACUGACACUGACGCUGAGGUGCGAAAGCGUGGGUAGCAAACAGGAUUAGAUACCCUUGUAGUC